rnacentral:lncRNA from 1 species
GAAAUGUGGUAAAGAUGAGGUAUGUUGAAGGAGAUUGAGAGAACACGAUCAAUAUAAAAUGUCAGUUUUUGAACAUAUUUUUUCUUCCAAGAUUCUGUUGGGUCACAACAACAUACGCAGUAUAAUCUUAUGAGUUGGGUCUGGAGUGAAUUGGCCAGACAGAAUUCUAUUCAAGUGAAUUAAGGACACCGCAAUGCAUCAAAGUGAUCACUUCAAAAUUUACAUCAAAACAAGCAGGCC